UACCUCUUGGUUCGGAACAACACAGGGAAACUUGUGCUAAUACCGGAUAAGCCCUUACGGGGAAAGAUUUAUCGCCGAGAGAAUGGCCCGAGUCUGAUUAACUAGAUGGAGCGAUGGCCGAUUACGUAGUUGGUGAGCUAAAGGCUCACAAAACCUUCGAUCUGUAGCUGGUCUGAGAGGACGACCAUCCACUCUGGGACUGAGACACGGCCCAGACUCCUACGGGAGGCAGCAGUGGGGAAUUUUGGACAAUGGGCGAAAGCCUGAUCCAGCCAUGCCGCGUGCAGGAUGAAGGCCUUCGGGUUGUAAACUGCUUUUGUACGGAACGAAACGGCCUUUUCUAAUAAAGAUGGCUAAUGACGGUACCGUAAGAAUAAUCACCGGCUAACUACGUGCCAACAUCCUCGGUAAUACGUACGGUGCAAUCGUUAAUCGGAAUUACUGGGCGUAAA
rnacentral:rRNA from 1 species